rnacentral:rRNA from 1 species
GUGGGGAAUCUUCCGCAAUGGACGAAAGUCUGACGGAGCGACGCCGCGUGAGUGAUGAAGGCCCUUGGGUCGUAAAGCUCUGUCAUCAGGGACGAACGGUCACGUCAGGAAAUGGGCGUGAAUUGACGGUACCUGAGAAGGAAGCCACGGCUAACUACGUGCCAGCAGCCGCGGUAAUACGUAGGUGGCGAGCGUUGUCCGGAAUUAUUGGGCGUAAAGCGCGCGCAGGUGGGAUCUUAAGUCUGUUCUGAAAGUUCGGAGCUUAACUCCGUGAUGGGAUGGAAACUGGUAUUCUUGAGUAUCGGAGAGGAAAGCGGAAUUCCCCGUGUAGCGGUGAAAUGCGUAGAUAUGGGGAGGAACACCAGUGGCGAAGGCGGCUUUCUGGACGAUGUCUGACACUGAGGCGCGAAAGCCAGGGGAGCGAACGGGAUUAGAUACCCCGGUAGUCC